rnacentral:rRNA from 1 species
GAUGAACGCUAGCUACAGGCUUAACACAUGCAAGUCGAGGGACCGGCGCACGGGUGAGUAACACGUAUCCAACCUGCCCUUUACUCGGGGAUAGCCUUUCGAACUAAAGAUUAAUACCCGAUAUAAAGGAUGGGGAUGCGUUCCAUUAGGUUGUUGGUGAGGUACCGACCCACCAAGCCUUCGAUGGAUAGGGGUGCUGAGAGGAAGGUCCCCCACAUUGGAAAGGAGACACGGUCCAAACUCCUACGGGAGGCAGCAGUGAGGAAUAUUGGUCAAUGGGCGUUAGCCGGAACCAGCCAAGUAGCGUGAAGGAUGAAGGCUUAUGGGUCGUAAACUUCUUUUAUAUAAGAAUAUGUAUUAUAUGAAUAAGGAUCGGCUAACUCCGUGCCAGCCGCCGCGGUAAUUC